rnacentral:lncRNA from 10 species
UCAUCCAUUCAGACGGUGAGGGUGCUGAGUGAGCUGUGUCUAGGGGAAACCAGCGGGGAGGGCCCGGGAGGAGUUUGUGCUACAGCAAGAAUAUUAUGAAGAAGAAAAUGACUUCACCAGAAAAGGGCAGCCUGAGCCUGUGGCCUCCAUGGCUUCUCCAGGCUAUGGGUCUGUGCUUCUCCUACAGACUCUAGUAACGUCUGAGUUGCUUGAAAAAGAAAUCGAGGGGCUUUACACCCAUGUUGUCACACCUGUGCUUAUCAUUAGCAUUACAAUCUGGAAAGGGGGCGGGCUGGGGAGAGAGGGAAGCUUCCUCUCCUGGGGCCCAGGGACAUGUGGUCUGGAAUCCUAGCAACCCAAACAGCUGGCUGCUGUACUGGCUUCUUGGCCGGUCCCCUCUCAUACUCCAAUAUAGAGAUGCAGACAGUGAGUCAAUGAGUUCCCAUCACUGAUAAGUCACAUGGUUUGGGUUUGCCUCGUUUUGUGUCUUGCAAACAAAAGCAUUCUGAUGGAUUUGGCUGAGGUCAGUCCGCCCUCUCUCAGGGUUGCUAUGGAAGGAAUCUCUCCAUCAGGAGGUGUGUGGACGAGGACCUCUGAGAUCUCUGGCUCAACUCUAAGAUUCUAUUACUCCUUCGUAUGAUUCAAAGUUGCGUAGGUUCUUCUUCUUUCAGGUGCAGGUGGAAAACAUUUAAAGACACAGAGUUUUUAAAUUGUUUUAUAUUUUAGAUUCAGGGGUUACACGUGCAGGUUUGUUUCAAGGAUAUAUCAUGUGAUGCUGAUGUUUGGACUUCUAUUGAUUCCAUCACCCACAUAGUGAGGGUAGUACCCAGUAGAAAGUCUUCAGCCCUUUCUCCCCACUCCCUCCCUUUCUCCCUCCUUCUCUCCUUUUGGAGUCCCCAGUGCCUAUUGUUCUCAUCUUUAUAUUUGCGUGUACCAAGGUUUAGCACCCACUUGUAAGUGAGAUGUGACAUUUGCCUUUUUGUUUCUGCAUUACUUCAUUUAGAAUGAUGGCCUGCAGCCACAUCUAUGUUGCUGCAAAGGACAUAAUUUCACUCUUUUUUAUGGCUCCAUAGUAUUCCAUGGUGUACAUGUAUGACAUUUUCUUAUUCAGUCCACCAUUGAUGGACAUCUAGGUUGAUUCCAUGAAGAGAGACACAAUCUUAAUUAUUUUGUCAUCACAGACGUCCCAGGUUUGCUCAGUGGCCAGCUCGGAAGGAAAAUGCUUGGUGUCCCAGCAGUUAUGGACAUCACACCGGCAGAGGGGCAGGUGGCCUGGUCCUCCCUGGCAGGAUGUGCCUUUUUCAGAUGGCCCCACAACGGGAGCCCGGAAGGGCAGAUGCAGGGGCCGUUACUUCAGCUCUGACCGGGUGGGAUCCAAUGGCCCCAGGGAGGCUGCAGGGCAAGGUUGGACACCCAGUUCCAGGAUCGAAGCUGCCAUGAACUCUUGGGGUGAGAACCCUGAACUGCUAAUAACGCUCUUCCUCUGAGUCUUGGUCUCUUGGAGAUCUGACUGAGGAUACCUGAAAUUAUCAAACAGGAAAAGGUGAUGCCUGCAGGAGAGAAAAUACGGCUCCUAUGCCAAACGAGCCCAUAAAUGAGCGUUAUAAAGAAUCUCCCAAAAUCAGAUGCCCCAGAAGAAAGACACGAAGUUAACAAAUUGGAGAAUACACACCUGGAAAAAAAUAGAAAAAUAGUGAAAACUGAAAAGGACUUUAAUAGUGUGUGUUUAAAAUCCUCAGAAAGUUUUAAAAAAAGUGACAGCAACUGUAAAUAAGAACAGGGAGUUAUGAAACAAAAACAUAGCACUCAGGAAUCAAGAUCAAUAUGGAUCCAUUGAUCAAUGAUCAAUAAAGAUCAAUUUCAAAAUCUGGAAAAAAAAGGUAGUUUUGAAAUCAAAGCCCGCCGCAAUGAGGUAAACAAUAAGCUGGAAAAAAGUUGAUGAGCGACUUUGUAAGACAGAAUUGCAGAAAUCAAUCAAAAUGCAGCACAGAGAGAUAAAGAGAGAGAGAAAUAUGAAAGAGAAGUAAAGCGAUGUGGAGAAGAUACUGAAAAGCUCCGUACAUAUGAAACAGAAUAGAAUCAGUAGGGUCAUGGCUAAUUAUUUCCAGAAGGGAAGGAAAAUAAGAGCUCCUCAGACUAAAAGAACAAGUCGAGGGCCAAGUAAGAUAAACACACAAACAAAAUUCCAUAUUUAGAUGUAUCAGAGUGAAACUACAGAUCAGAGAUGAUAAAUACAAUUUCAAACUACCAGAAAGAAAACACAUUUUAGCCUAGGGAAUGGCUAUCUGUUCGAGAGCAUCUUCAUCAGCAAAAAAGAGGCCAGAAAACAAUGGAGCAAAAUGUUGAGGGAAAACAUCUAACAAUGCAAUAUUCUCUGCUCAACUCAAACGUCUUUUAAGAGUUACGGUGGCC